rnacentral:lncRNA from 10 species
GGCUUCCGACUUGCUGAGCAGCGCUCUCCACCGUAAUACGGCUGCCUGCGGAACCGGCUGACCGGAAGUGUGGCUGUGGGUGGUUUACCGCCAGACUGUGAUGGUGGCGGGGCACGGCUGCGUGACUGGUUAUAAAGUGGAUGCUAUUAUUGUCCUUAUUCCAGGCAUGUGGAAACUGAGGCACAGAGGAGGUGCAGGGACCUGGGAGCCAGUGAAGAGUGGCCAGAUGAGGAAACGGAGGUACAAAGAGAUUAAGAAAUUAACCAAUAUAAAUCAUAGAAAUCGCAAGUGGAAGAAUCAGGAUGUGAACUGUGGACCUUCAGCUCCAGUGCCUCCAUGGCUCUCGGCCAUUAUGCCAU